GAUGAACGCUGGCGGCGUGCCUAAUACAUGCAAGUCGAACGGAGAUGUAGCAAUACGUCUUAGUGGCGAACGGGUGAGUAACGCGUUGGUGACCUGCCCCAAAGUGUGGGAUAACAGUCCGAAAGGAUUGCUAAUACCGCAUGUGGUCUUCGGAAUUAGAAACCGAUUUCUAAAGGAGUAAUCCGCUUUGGGAGGGGCCUGCGUCCCAUCAGCUAGUUGGUAGGGUAAUGGCCUACCAAGGCGUCGACGGGUAAGGGGCCUGAGAGGGUGGCCCCUCACAAUGGAACUGAAACACGGUCCAUACACCUACGGGUGGCAG
rnacentral:rRNA from 1 species